AACGAACGCUGGCGGCAUGCCUAACACAUGCAAGUCGAACGAGACCUUCGGGUCUAGUGGCGCACGGGUGCGUAACGCGUGGGAACCUGCCUUUAGGUUCGGAAUAACUCAGAGAAAUUUGAGCUAAUACCGGAUAAAUGUCUUCGGACCAAAAGAUUUAUCGCCUUUAGAUGGGCCCGCGUUGGAUUAGCUAGUUGGUGGGGUAAAGGCCUACCAAGGCGACGAUCAUAGCUGGUCUGAGAGGAUGAUCAGCCACACUGGGACUGAGACACGGCCCAGACUCCUACGGGAGGCAGCAGUGGGAAUAUUGGACAAUGGGCGAAAGCCUGAU
rnacentral:rRNA from 1 species